rnacentral:rRNA from 1 species
UACGGAGGGGGCUAGCGUUGUUCGGAAUUACUGGGCGUAAAGCGCGCGUAGGCGGCUUUGUAAGUUAGAGGUGAAAGCCCGGAGCUCAACUCCGGAAUUGCCUUUAAGACUGCAUCGCUUAGAAUCAUGGAGAGGUGAGUGGAAUUCCGAGUGUAGAGGUGAAAUUCGUAGAUAUUGGAAAGAACACCAGUGGCGAAAGGCGACUCACUGGACAUGUAUUGACGCUGAGGUGCGAAACGUGGGGAGCAAACAGGG